rnacentral:RNase_P_RNA from 2 species
AGGCGUAGGAGGGCUACUGACAGAGUUCGACUCUGAGGAAAGUCCCCUCUCCAAAGUGCAAGCGGGCGACAUAAGUCGUAAGCCAGAGAUGGUUUGGUAGUGCAGCAGAAACGAACGACAAGGGGUGUGUACGAUGAAUCCGAAAGGACGAGAUUGCCCUAUUGUUGCUGGAACGAGCACCCACGCUGGAGCAAGUCUAAACAGUCCUGUUGACGCGGCACGCCGAGGGACGGGUAAGAUGCUAAGUUGAAUGUAGCUAACCGUGAAAGCGGGUAACAGAAAGGGGCUUACUCCCUGCACCU